rnacentral:rRNA from 1 species
GACGAACGCUGGCGGCGUGCCUAAUACAUGCAAGUAGAACGCACAGUUUAUACCGUAGCUUGCUACACCAUAGACUGUGAGUUGCGAACGGGUGAGUAACGCGUAGGUAACCUGCCUGGUAGCGGGGGAUAACUAUUGGAAACGAUAGCUAAUACCGCAUAAUAUUAAUUAUUGCAUGAUAAUUGAUUGAAAGAUGCAACUGCAUCACUACCAGAUGGACCUGCGUUGUAUUAGCUAGUAGGUGAGGUAACGGCUCACCUAGGCGACGAUACAUAGCCGACCUGAGAGGGUGAUCGGCCACACUGGGACUGAGACACGGCCCAGACUCCUACGGGAGGCAGCAGUAGGGAAUCUUCGGCAAUGGACGAAAGUCUGACCGAGCAACGCCGCGUGAGUGAAGAAGGUUUUCGGAUCGUAAAGCUCUGUUGUAAGAGAAGAACGGGUGUGAGAGUGGAAAGUUCACACUGUGACGGUAUCUUACCAGAAAGGGACGGCUAACUACGUC